rnacentral:rRNA from 1 species
UACGUAGGGUGCAAGCGUUAAUCGGAAUUACUGGGCGUAAAGCGUGCGCAGGCGGUUAUGUAAGACAGAUGUGAAAUGCCCGGGCUUAACCUGGGAACUGCAUUUGUGACUGCAUGGCUAGAGUUUGGCAGAGGGGGUAGAAUUCCACGUGUAGCAGUGAAAUGCGUAGAUAUGUGGAGGAACACCGAUGGCGAAGGCAGCCCCCUGGGUCAAGACUGGACGCUCAUGCACGAAAGCGUGGGGAGCAAAC